AGCGACUAAGCGUACACGGUGGAUGCCCAGGCAGUCAGAGGCGAUGAAGGACGUGCUAAUCUGCGUAAAGCGACGGUAAGGUGAUAUGAACCGCUACAGCCGUCGAUGUCCGAAUGGGGAAACCCGGUGCACUCUGUGCAUCAUUGCAGCAUGAAUACAUAGUGCUGCAAGGCGAACCGGGGGAACUGAAACAUCUAAGUACCCCGAGGAAAAGAAAUCAACCGAGACUCCCCCAGUAGCGGCGAGCGAACGGGGAGCAGCCCAGAGCCUGAAUCAGUUUGUGUGUUAGUGGAAGCGUCUGGAAGGUCGCAGGGUACAGGGUGAUACUCCCGUACACAAAAACACACAAGCUGUGAGCUCGAUGAGUAAGGCGGGACACGUGGUAUCCUGUCUGAAUAUGGGGGGACCAUCCUCCAAGGCUAAAUACUCCUGACUGACCGAUAGUGAACCAGUACCGUGAGGGAAAGGCGAAAAGAACCCCGGCGAGGGGAGUGAAACAGAACCUGAAACCGUGUACGUACAAGCAGUGGGAGCCUUCUUUAUGGGGGUGACUGCGUACCUUUUGUAUAAUGGGUCAGCGACUUAUAUUCUGUAGCAAGGUUAACCGUAUAGGGGAGCCGCAGGGAAACCGAGUCUUAGCUGGGCGUUAAGUUGCAGGGUAUAGACCCGAAACCCGGUGAUCUAGCCAUGGGCAGGUUGAAGGUUGGGUAACACUAACUGGAGGACCGAACCGACUAAUGUUGAAAAAUUAGCGGAUGACCUGUGGCUGGGGGUGAAAGGCCAAUCAAACCGGGAGAUAGCUGGUUCUCCCCGAAAGCUAUUUAGGUAGCGCCUCGUGAACUCAUCUUCGGGGGUAGAGCACUGUUUCGGCUAGGGGGCCAUCCCGGCUUACCAACCCGAUGCAAACUGCGAA
rnacentral:rRNA from 1 species